GUCAUCUUGUAACUCUACAUCAAACAUAGUGAUCAUAAACGUUGAGACUGUAUAUGACGAGUUUUAUGAUAUGGAAAUGGGCACAUUUGGACUCACAGGUGUUUUGCUUGCUUGUAUGACAUCAGUGGUAUUUAUUAUAAUGUCAUCUUUCAAAACACAUAGUCCUCAUAAAUGUACAGCAUUUCCCUCACUCAGACAACAAAACAUUAGCAAAGGUUGCCAGGUACGACUGUACAGGGCUACAUAACAAAAUCCUGUAUUUUAUUGCAGCAAUGCCUUCAGGAACGUCUGGGAUCUGAAUGAAUGGCGCCAGGCUCAGACGGAUUCUGACCACUGGAGUGUUUGUUUGCUCCGGAAGCCAUCGCUUUAUUUAAAUACGCAACCUGUGUUCCAGGUUCUGAACCAAGGGUCUGAAUGAAGAUGUUCAACUCAAUCAUAUUGUUGCUUAUGUAGAUGGCAGAACUCUAGUUUCACGGCCUUUGUGGUGGAGACACAGGAACUCGAUGAGUCAGCAUUGUGGCAUCUUCAUUGAUACUCUGCCAGAGACGCAGCAUGGUAUGUGGUGACGACGAUGACAUAUGACAGAACACUUGCUCUCCACCGCCACUUCGGCAUUGAUGCCCUCACUGACGAAGACAUUGAGGCAAUUUUCUUGUCUGAAGAAAUUGAUUGUCUUGAUGAGUCUCUCAACUACAAUUUGCACGACUAACAGUACCCUUUCACUUAACUAUUAAAUUGCAUACCGAGAGCUUUCCCUACGGCACAGUCACAAAUGACCGGAUGAGCAAGUGGCUGGAUCGUUCAGGAUGAGACAAGAAGGCUCCAAGUUUGCACAUCCUGCAUUCUCCAAGUUCCAAGAGUACCUCAUAAGGAAGAUGUACAGAGUCAUCCCUCGGCAAGGACUUUGACGCAGGCACCUACUUCUACUUCAUCUCAACAGUGCACCAUCUCUGUGUGCAUUGUCUUACAGGUCACAGUAUGGAUUCUGCAGAAGGGGUUCAGUUGGGCAAAGCACAUAUUGCCUCCCCAUAACUUUAAAAAAAAAUCACUUUUGUUGCAUCUGCAUGUUCAUUUGAGAGGCAGAAUGUAAGGGGUUAAGUGGGCCAUAACGGAGCUAGCCAAAAUUCUCUGCCUCAACAGAUGUACAUUGUGUUCAACUGUAAUCAUCCUUAGUGUGGUUAGGUAGGUUUACCCUAAAAAAUAUAGUUCCUGUAUCGUAGCGAAGCCCAUGUACACGAUAUAUGUAUUGAUGUAACACCAGCACAUUGAAUUGACAUGAGCGAG
rnacentral:lncRNA from 1 species